rnacentral:lncRNA from 1 species
AGGAUGGCAAGGCUAAUACUGACUAGCUAGAGCUUGGCAGCCCCUGGGGAAACCUGCACUAGCAGGCGAGCCCAUUACACAAGCCAAGUCCAAAUGUCACUCUAACAUUUGCAGAGCUGUGUGUAACUGCUUAAGGAGAGGUUUUGAACCAGAAGGUCAAGGCCGGAAAAGCUGUUUGGGGAACCAAAGAAUGUGCAGUCAUUCCGAGGAGCCAUUCUUUUCUUUCCAUGGGGGCAGGCUCUGUUUUGUUUUGUUUUCUAUUAAGCCUUAUGGUCUUUUCUGCCUGCUGUUGCUCCUAUAGGCAGGUGAUCCUUCAAGAAUGCAAAGGCCAAUUUCUGGUCAGAUUUCAGCAGGAAAGGCUGGUGAAGAUGUCAACUUGAGGAAGGGUGUCAACAAUAAUUACAGCCUAGUGUCAGCAUGGAUGCUAAAAAGACUACAGUACACAACUUAAUUUGUGGUUCUUGACUGAAGCUUCUGAACUUAAAAUAAAAAUUUGAAACAAUAAAAUAAAGCUACAAGAAGGUUUAUAAACACAGGGCAGGGAGGGAACUGAAUUGUACACUGGUUCCUUUAUCCUGCUGUCAGAGAUCUGCCCCGCCUCAUUGCUCACUUUUGUAAAGUAGUAAUUAUCAG